rnacentral:piRNA from 1 species
UAACCACCUUGGACUUUGGCUAUUUGUCC